CCAAAGCUCAGAAGGCUGUUCAUUAAACACAACACUGCCCUGCCCUCAAGUGCCCCAGUCGAGAGACUCUUCAGCGCCGGUGGUCUAAUAUUCAGGCCCAGAAGGAACCGGCUAGGAGAUGCAAACUUUGAGAAGCAGCUGAUGUUGAAUGCCAACCAAAAGAUUUAAAGGAUGUUGAAUCCACCAGGGAGGACUAUUGAUUGAUGAUCAUCCUUUGUUUGUUCAUUCGUCUGGAUUUGUUUUUGUUCUAAUAUUCAGACCCAAAAGGAACCGGCUAGGAGAUGCAGACUUUGAGAAGCAGCUGGGCUUGAAUACCAAAGAUUUAAAGG